rnacentral:rRNA from 1 species
AGCGAACGCUGGCGGCAGGCCUAACACAUGCAAGUCGAACGAAGUCUUCGGACUUAGUGGCGGACGGGUGAGUAACACGUGGGAACGUGCCUUUAGGCUCGGAACAACUCAGGGAAACUUGAGCUAAUACCGAAUGUGCCCUUCGGGGGAAAGAUUUAUCGCCAUUGGAGCGGCCCGCGUCUGAUUAGCUAGUUGGUGGGGUAAUGGCCUACCAAGGCGACGAUCAGUAGCUGGUCUGAGAGGAUGAUCAGCCACAUUGGGACUGAGACACGGCCCAAACUCCUACGGGAGGCAGCAGUGGGGAAUCUUGCGCAAUGGGCGAAAGCCUGACGCAGCCAUGCCGCGUGAAUGAUGAAGGUCUUAGGAUUGUAAAAUUCUUUCACCGGGGACGAUAAUGACGGUACCCGGAGAAGAAGCCCCGGCUAACUUCGUGCCAGCCGCCGCGGUAAGAC